rnacentral:pre_miRNA from 1 species
AGUGGGAUGGCUGGGUCAAAUGGUGGUUCUGUUCCAAGUUUUCCAAGGAAUCUCCAUACUGCUUUCCAGAAUGAUUGCACCAAUUUGCAGUCUUAUCAGCAAU